rnacentral:rRNA from 1 species
CUGGCCUCAAAUCAGGUGGGACUACCCGCUGAACUUAAGCAUAUCAAUAAGCGGAGGAAAAGAAACUAACAAGGAUUCCCCUAGUAACGGCGAGUGAAGCGGGAUGAGCUCAAAUUUAAAAUCUGGCAGCCUAAGGUUGUCCGAGUUGUAGUCUAGAGAAGCGUUUUCCGCGUAGGCCUGUGUACAAGUCCCUUGGAAUAGGGCGUCAUAGAGGGUGAGAAUCCCGUCCUUGACACAGAUCAUCUAUGCUUUGCGAUGCGCUCUCGAAGAGUCGAGUUGUUUGGGAAUGCAGCUCAAAAUGGGUGGUAAAUUCCAUCUAAAGCUAAAUACUGGCGAGAGACCGAUAGCGAACAAGUACCGUGAGGGAAAGAUGAAAAGCACUUUGGAAAGAGAGUUAAACAGUACGUGAAAUUGUUGAAAGGGAAACGAUUGAAGUCAGUCAUGUGGUUCGAGAUUCAGCCGGUUCUGCCGGUGUAUUUCUCGAGCUACAGGCCAGCAUCAGUUUCGACCGGUGGAAAAAGUUGGAGGGAACGUGGCAUCCUCGGAUGUGUUAUAGCCCUCUUUCACAUGCAUCGGACGGGACUGAGGAACGCAGCGUGCCUUUAUGGUCGGUCUUCGGACACGAACGCGCUUAGGAUGCUGGCAUAAUGGCUUUAAACGACCCGUCUUGAAACACC